rnacentral:misc_RNA from 1 species
UUCACCCAAAGUGAUAGAAAAUAGUAACGAGACUAAAAUUCCCCUCCAUCCCAUUUUAAGAUGCUGCUUCUCAGAAUCUCUAGAAAUAUGGCCCACAAUCAGGAUGAUUCAAAACUCAAGCACCAGCUUCCAUGCCACCGAAGAUAGAAAUGAUCACUUUAGCUUCCUUCCUAAAUGAACUUAUAUAAGGCAGGUUGCCUUAGUUUCAACUAGUUUUCUCCAACAGA